UGAGCUUCUCUUGAGUGUCAAUGGUGUUUUUGAAUAGCUGGAGGGUGAGUAGUCACAUAGUAAGGUAUGACACUAGCCCUCCAGCUAUUCAAAAACACCAUUGACACUCAAGAGAAGCUCAGA